rnacentral:rRNA from 1 species
UACGUAGGGUGCAAGCGUUUAAUCGGAAUUACUGGGCGUAAAGCGUGCGCAGGCGGUUUUGUAAGUCUGUCGUGAAAGCCCCGGGCUCAACCUGGGAAUUGCGAUGGAGACUGCAAGGCUUGAAUCUGGCAGAGGGGGGUAGAAUUCCACGUGUAGCAGUGAAAUGCGUAGAUAUGCGGAGGAACACCGAUGGCGAAGGCAAUCCCCCUGGGCCUGCACAUGACGCUCAUGCACGAAAGCGUGGGGAGCAAACAGG